AGGGAGGGCAGCUGGGAGAUGGCAAAACGAAUGCGCGAUGACGUGGGGAGGCUGUGGUUUGGAGCAAUCGGCCAGUGGGUGCCCGAUGGUGAUGAAUUUUGCCAGCAAAGAAAUGGGAAAACUUGGAGCUUGGUUACUGGGAAUGGUGGUUUUGGAGGGGGAAGGCUUCCAGGAGAAGCUGGGCAUGCUUUAUAGAUGAGGAGCAGUGCGAGGAUAAGGAUGACACAGCACACGGACCAUGGAUUGGCGGUGAGGGGCGGCGCCGGAGUUUGCCGCCCAUGUGGCGGCCAUGCCUGCCUACGGGAGCUCGGUCCAAUAGAGGGCGAGGAGGGGCGUGGGCUUGGUCAGGGUUCACGUGGGUGACGAGCCGAGGGCCAACCGGCGAGGGUGCCCUGCUGGCAUGCCCAAUCCGAUGAGGGGCGCUACCGGUGGCCAACCAUGAGCGCACAGGUGCAGCAGAGGAGGAAGAAGACCCUGACUAGUGGGCCCGCGCUUCUUUUUUUUAACUAAUUCAACUUUGUCCCCUUAUUUGAGUCAUCUACACUUGUCCAAAAGUUUCCCAAAAAUACUCGUUGGAAAGAUAAAAUCACAAAGAAUACGAUCAGCUAUGGUUUUCAUGAAAUUAUCAAAAUAAAAGAGCUAAAAUUAAACUUUAAACGAAUUUUUGGCACAAGCAAACAUUUCUGAAAAAUUU
rnacentral:lncRNA from 1 species